GGACGACUCGCGGGCGGCCCCGGGCACGAGCCGGCUUCGGCGGAGGCCACGGAGGACACCCCCGCGCGAUUCGGCUGCACACCCCGGGGCCGUCCCACUACGGUUGGGGACGCCGGGAGUCCACGAGGAGGGACACCCUCCGCGGUAAAAGCGCAUACAUGGCGUGGCCGGACCCUCCCCCCUCCUCGACUCUCGUGCCGUCCCCGCUCCCGCUUCCGCCGCCUCGGGGAGCCCAACGGACGCAGCGAAGGGCUGUCAGAACUGGAGCUAGACAACCUUCAGAGGCGGACGGCGGAAGUCCCGCCCCAGCAGCCCUCCCGGAAACGCGCUGCCCUGGGCCCUCACUGGUCAGCCCCGAGACGUCGUCGCAGUGUCUUCUGGGUAGUGUAGUUCCCGCCGCGAGGCCCCGCGCGCUGGCAGGGCUGAGUCCUCCGGGUGCUACCACACAAGCUACAGGAGGGCAGGGUCCGUGGUCGUAUCUUCUCCGAGCCGUGAGCUCCCAGUACUGAGACUCUCUGAGACUCGUCCCGACUGUGGCACCGGCUGCCUCUCACGGAGGUAUCCGCCCGGGCCGCGCGCUCUCCCGAGCCUCCUCACCGGUCCUCGGCCCCCGCCGCCCCGGCAAGUGGCACCCUGGCCCCGUAGGCAUUGUACGCGGGAGUGGGUGGGGACUGAGGCCCAGACUGCGACGGUCAGCCCGAGGUCAUCCCUCCAUGGGCGGGGCUGGGGUCGGGCCGGCUGACCUGUGGGACCCAGGCCGGGUGUGCGCCUUGCAGUGCGCAGCUCCGGCCCCGGGUCGGCGGGCGGCGGCGGUGAUGAGCGACCCGGCGCCGGUGAGUCGAGGGUGCGCCCUCGACCGCACUCACUCAGACCCCCGUAUCGGGGAUGUUGGUGUCGUGGGGCUUUUACUCCUCCCCGCCGCCUUCAGCUCCCUGCCCUUACCACUUGGGCUUUGGGAGUCGCAUCUGGCCCCUAAUCCAGCGCUUACGCGGAAGGCUUCCCGUUUCUGUCAGUCAACGGGAUGUGAUAUGGAAAGUGUUAAAGACACAGAAGCCAGCAAGUGCUUGGUAGUGAGGCUGCGCUGGCAGUGUUCAGGGAACCCCAGAUCCCACCUAGGUCUUUUGAGAAGAGAGAGCAGGGGCAGGAGUCAGGCCUGGGAUGGAUCUAGACUUCUGUUCGGAGGGUGCUGGGAGCACUGGAGAUUUAGGGCAGGGGAGGGAGGUGAUCUGACUCGUGUUGGGAGACUCCCUCUGGCUACGGACUGUGGCGGAAGAAGGCACAUGAGAGGCUACUGGUGAUGGGUGGCUGCACCAGGGUGAUGGCAAUGGAGAUGGCAGAGGUGCUGGGACUCUGCAUCUGUUAUUUCAGUAGGACCAGCCCAAUUGCUGGAUGUGAGGCAGUGAGAGACACUGACCUAUCAAGGAGUAGCCUAGGUGUUUGGACUCAGUGGUUUGAUGGAUGGAGGAUCUACCAACAGUUGUGGAGGUUGGUGGCUAGAGCAGGUUCCAGGGACAAGAUCUGGAGUGUGGUUUUGGAGAUUUUAAGUGGGAUAUAUCCAGGAAUGGAGGCACCUUGUAGGCACCUGAAUGUGCAGCUCUGGAAUUCUGCAGGGUCAGGGCUGGAAAGAUCCAAAGGGUGGGGCUAGAGAGUGGGCCUAGGAACAAUGUGGGAUGAAGGACGGUGAUGAAUGCCCAGACAAGUUGUGGGAAGGGAGGCUGGGGGCCAAGGAGGACCAGGUGCUCGGACUGUGCAGUUGGAAGGUGGUGGCAGGUGUCACGAAGGCACUGUGACGUCUGGGCCUAUGUUAGCGGGGAAUGAAGAGGGGCAGUGUCAGGGAGCCAAGGCUCCUGAUCGGCAGGUGGACCUGGGGUGCAGCCUGUGGCAUGGCAGUGAUGGAUGUAGGGGGUAAAUGGGCUUGGGGUUGGGCUGAUUCACCUGUUUGCAGGCUGACCAGGCUUUUAUAUCUGCCCUCUCUGGGGACUGAGGGUUUUCAUUCAGGGUUGCAGAGGCAUUCAGUGGUAGAUGGAGGUCACCUGGGCAACGGGCAGUGUCCCAGGCCCAGUGGGCUGGACUCUGAGUAUGCCUCAGAAUGGGAGAGGAGGAUCACGGCAAGUGAGAGCACAGCCUGUGCAAAGGCAGAUGUGAAGGAAGUCCAGCAUCUCAGAGAUCCAAUUGUAGUUCUGAGUGGCUGAAUAUUGAAGCUAGAACAGGGCCAGGUUACCUCCAAAAUCCAAAAAGUCCUACCAAAUGUUUUUUGGUGGUUGAUCGUGUGAGGUGCAAUGGCAGUGGGCCAUUGAAGUGCAGGCAGGCUGGAGCAGGAUAGGAUUGCGGUUGCUGUGCCAUGCACUCUCAGGACACCACAUGGAGAGUGGCAUGUGGGGAAGCCAGGGAGUUGUGAAUGGAGUGAACUGGUGAGGUUGUGCUGGAAUGGUGUGGGUGCAGAAGUAUGAGGAUGCUGAGUAUGUUAUGUGCCUGAUAGGUGGGAGGGCCAACUGAAGGGCCUUGGGAACAGGCAUCUGGCCCUAAGGAAGAAUGGUGAGUGAGGGUUUAGUUGCAUCUGAGAGGUGUGAUGUGAGGGACACAGAGAGAAUGGGCUGGGAGGAGAAAGGGUGAGGCCUGUGUGCCUGGACCAGAACAUAGAUGGCAUCCAUCCUGUUGUUGCUGUGGGAUGGAUACAGAAUCUAAUAGUAACAUGAUGAGAAAGGCAUCAAUGGCAUUGUGACCUUGGUAUUCUCUCUGAGGUAGAGUUCUGGAGGGAAAAGGAAGCAUCAGGAUGUGGUGGUGGUGGUGGUGGUGGGGUGUUGAGCCUGUCAGUGAGAGAGAGGAUAGUACCCUUCCGUGUCAAAGGCUUGGAUGUGUCCCUUUGGUUGGUUUUUCUGCCCAAUCAUCAACCCCUAGGAUCAGCUGAACCCAUCACUGCAGGAUCAGGUGACAUUUGAGGAUGUGGCCGUGUAUUUCUCCAAGGAGGAGCGGAGGCUCCUUAACGUAACGCAGAGGCAUCUAUACCAUGAUGUGAUAUAGGAGAACUUUGAGCUCAUCGGCUCUCUGGGUUGUCUGUGUCAAGUGGAAGAUGAGGAGGACCCUCUUGAGCAGGUGAAGAGCUAUAGGGCCCACUCUUCAGAACACCCCUUCAUGUGUGGGGAGUGCGGCAUGGACUUCCAGGCCAGCUUUGGCCUCAGACAGCAACAAGCCACUCACGGUAUGGGGAAGCUACCAAGCAGCACCAGGGAGACCUUCCCUCACAGCUCCAGUCUCAGGCAGCACCCAGGAGUCCACACUGGACAGAAACCCUUCAAGUGCAGCAACUGUGGGAAAUCUUUCCUGGAGAGUUCUGCCCUCCUCAACCACCUAAGAACUUACACUGAACUGAGUUCCUACAGAUGCUCAACAGGUGGAAAUGCCUUCAAGGAGAAAUCAAUUCUUAUUACUCAGAUUAAAAUUCACACUGGAGGAACGUCCUAUAUGUGUAAAGAGUAUGGGAAGGCCCUCAGCCACCCAUCUAAAUUGAGCACACAUCAUAAAGUUCAUACUGAAAUAAAAUGUUACAAGUGCAGUGAAGGUGGGAAAACAUUCAACCACAAAUCCACACUUGUUCAGCACCAGAGAAUUCAUACAGGGGAAAGGCCUUAUAAGUGCAGUGAAUGUGGGAAAGACUUUAGCCUCGCAUCUACCCUUAUUCGGCACCAGAAAGUUCACACUGGGGAAAUGCCCUAUAAAUGCACUGAAUGUGGGGAAUUCUUUAGCCAAACUCCAACCUCAUUUGGCACCAGAGAGCUCACAUUGGAGCAAGACCUUAUGAAUGCAUUGAAUGUGGGAAGGCCUAAGCAGAAUCUGUUGUCUCAGUCAGCACCAGAAGGUUCACGUGAGAGAAAGGCCAUACGAGGGCUGCUGGUGUGGGAAAGUCUGCAUUGAAAUAGCCACGGGUGUUUGGUACCUCCAAGUUCUCAACACAUAAAGGCCCAUGAGUGCAGUACAUGUUGCUCCUUCUCUGCUUCUCAUUUAACACCAGGAAUUAUAGGAAAGCCUUUAGACACAGCCUUAAGCUCAUUCAGUACCAGAAAGAUCAUGACCCCAAAGCACGUUAAAUGCAGUCAGUGUGGGAAAUCUUUACCCCAAAGCACCAAACUUGUUCUACAUGCAAGCUUCCACACCACAGAAUAUCCUCUUUAGUCCAACUAAUGUGGGAAAGUCUUUUUUUUUUUUUUUUUGAAGAUUUUAUUUAUUUAUUUAUUUGAGAGAGAGAGAGAGAGAGUGUGUGAGAGUGGGGAGGGUCAGAGGGAGAAGCAGAUGCCCUGUUGAGCAGGGAGCCGGAUGCGGGACUCGAUCCUGGGACUCCGGGAUCAUGACCUGAGCUGAAGGUAGUCGCUCAACCAACUGAGCCACCCAGGUGGUGGGAGAGUCUUCAGCUGCAGCUCCAAUCUUAUUUCACUCCAGAAAGUUCACACUGAAGGCCUUAGGAGUACAAUAAAGUGCAAAAGCCUCUAGCCAUGGCUAUCACCUUGUUCAGCCUCAUGUCAGAGAGAAGACUUUGUGAGGGAGCCACUGCCAAAAGUCCAACCUUGUAAUAGUUUUCUGUUUCUGUGUAACAAAUUACAAUUACCAAAACAUCCAUUUAUUAUUUCACAGCACUGAGGUCAGAAUUCUAGCACAACAUGGCUAAGUUCUCUGCUCCUACUAGAAUGAAGGUGCUGGCUAGACUGAGUUCUUGUCCGGAGGUUCUGGGGAAAAAAAUCUAUCCAGUCUCAUGGAUUACAAUGGAAAAAUCUUUUUUUUUUUUUUUUUUAAGAUGGGUGGGGACUCCAGAGGGUUGCCCUACGAUGGAAAAAUCUUGGGGUCAUCUUAGAAUUCUGCCUACCAUCCUUUUUUUUUUUUUUUUUUAAGAUUGUAUUUAUUCAUUUGAGAGAGAGACAGAGAGAGAAGGAGGGAGAGAGAGCAAGCAUGAGCAGGGGGGAGACACAGAGGGAGAAGCAGACUUCCCGCUGAGCCAGGAGCCCGACAUGGAGCUCAAUCCCAGCACCCAGAGAUCAUGAUCCAAGCUAAAGGCAGAUGCUUAACCAUCUGAGCCACUCAGGUGUCCCUGCCUACCAUGACUUUAAAAGGGCAAAAAAUCUGGACACCUCAGGAAAGAAGAUACACAGGUGGCAAAUAAGCAUAAGAAAAUAUGCUCAAGCUUGUCUGCUAUUAGGGAAUUGCAAGUUAAAACAAUAUCAUUACAUAUGUAUUAGAAUGGCUAAAAUCCAAAAUACAACAGGAGGAACCAGAAAUCUCAUUCACUGCUGGGGAGAAUGCAAAAUGGUACAGCCACUUUGGAAGAGUUUGAUAGUUUCUUGCAAAGUUAAAUAUAGUCCUGCCAGGUCAUCCAGCAAGGCACACAAAUGUUUGUAAUUGCUCAGAACAGGAAUCAGCUCAGAUGUUCUUCAAUAGGUAAGUGGAUAAAGAAACUGUGGCACAUCCAUACAAUGGAAUAUUAUUCAGCAAUAAAAAGAACUGAGUUAUUAAGCCACAGAAAGGCAUGGAGGAAUCUUAAAUGUAUAUUGCUAAGUGAAAAAGUCAGUCUGAAAAAGGCACCCACUGUAUAAUUCCAGCUUUAUGACAUUCUGGGAAAGGCAAAACUUAGACACAGUAAAAUAGUGGUUGAUGGGGACUUGGGGGAGGGAGGGAUGAAUAGGUGAAGCACAGGGGGUUUUUCAUGCAGCAAAACUAUUCUGUAUGAUACUGUAAUGACUGACACAUGUGACAUUAUGUAUUUGUCAAAACCCAUAUUAGGUACAACUCUAAUGUGAACUAUAGACUUUAUUUAAUAAUAAUGUAUCAAUAUGGGUUCAUCAGUUAUAACAAAUAUACCACACUAAAGAUGUUAACAGUAGGGGAAACUAUAGGGAGAGACCAGGAGUAUGGGAACUCUGUACUAUCAGCUCAAUUUCCCAUAAACCUAAAACUUAGUGCUCUAAAAAUAAUGUAUAUUAAUAAAAACUAGAGUAAUAUUGAUAAAUAAAUGUCAGAAAUUUAAAAAAUGAGCCAGACUAGAGACAGUCAUUGGGAAAAUCAUGUGAUUUUCAUGUGUAGUUCAUACUGGGCUACUUGGAGUAUAGUGGGCCAGUUUUAGGCAGUGUCUAUUCAAAUUUAAAACAUGGCAGGCUCAAGGAGAGUCAUACAAUGAACUUAAGAGCUGCACUGUUUUGAGGUCAAAGUGUCUAACAAUAGGGCACUACUGGAAAUAAUUAGGGUAUCUCCAUUAAAAAAUGUUGGCACUGAAAAUGAUUACAUUUAUAAUCAGCAAAUAUACUAAUAAACAUUCUUUGAUAAGCAGAAAACAUCAUGUGCUUGUUAAAGAAUGGACAGAGUCCCAACUGAGGCUUGCAUCUCAGUAACCUGGAUGUUCCCACUCUCUCUUCCCUGCUCCUGAUGAGCAGGGACUUGGAGUUAUUUCCUUGUCCAGUGUCAACCAACCCAAGAAGUACUAAAGGCUGGAAGUAUGUGAUCCCAGACAAUGCUGUGAAUCCACACAAAAAACCAAAAAGCACCAGUAAUUAUGCAUAAGAAAGUAUAAAUGCUAUUUCUUUUUUAAACUUAUUAUAAAAGCAACUAUAUAAAACCAUAUACAUAAUUGUACUGUUUGACCUAUAACAAACAGAAAUAUACUUGCCAUUAGCCGCACAAUGGAGGUGGGUGCACAUAGCUAUAUUGGCUUAAGGAAAUGACUACAGAGAGUAUCUCAAAUUCAAUACAUGGGUUUAUUUAUUUGUCCAACCUCAUCUAAUUUUGCACUUGAAAUGAGUGCAUUUUGUUAUAUAUGUUAUACAUUAAUAAAGUUGACUAAAAAAGUCCAGUUGGAAAAUGGGCAAAAACUUGAGCACAUAUUUCUCUAAAGCGGAUAUAUGGAUAGCAAACAUAUGCAUGAAAACAUGUUCAAUAGCUAUUACUGGUGGGAAUGUAAGAUGGUGCAGCUACUCUGGAAAACAAUUUGGUAGUUUAGCAUACACUUACCGUACAACUCUACAAUUGCAUUCUUGGGCAUUUAUCACCUCCUUGACACACACAACAAUGAAAACUCAUGUCCAUACAAAAGUGAAAACAUGUUCAUAGGAAACUGAAUACAAAUGUUCAUGGCAGUGUUAUUUGUGAUAGCUAACAAUGAUGAUGAUAAUAGUAAUAAUAAUAAUAGUGUAGACAGCCCAAAUGUCCCUCAAUAGGUGAACAGAUAAACAAACUGUGGAAUAUCUACUUAGCAAUACAAAGGAGCUAGCUACUGAUACACACACCUUGGAUGGAUCUCAAAUGCAUUAUGCUGAGUGAUAAAAGCCCACAGUAUAGCCCAUCCAUGCUAUAGGAUUUCCUUUAUGUGACAUUUGUGAAGUGGCACAUUCUAGUGAUGGAGGACAGAUCAGUGGUGGUCAGGAUUGGGAGAGUGUAUGACCUAAGGGUUAGUUAGAAGUUCCCUUGUGGGCAUGUAUGUAUAUUUUAUUUUCUCAGAUAUACUUAUGUUGAUGAAAUUCAUUUUUCUUUUUUUUUUUUAAGAUUUUAUUUAUUUAUUUGACAGAGAGAGACACAGUGAGAGAGUGAACACAAGCAAAGGCAGAGGGAGAGGGAGAAGCAGGCCUCCUGCCAAGCAGGGAGCCCGAUGCGGGGCUCAAUCCCAGGACCCUGGGAUCAUGACCUGAGCCGAAGGCAGGCGCUUAACGACUGAGCCACCCAGGCGCCCCGAAAUUCAUUUUUCUAAAGAACAUUUUAUAGAAUCUAAAUUAUAAAAUUCUAUGUUCAUCUGUUAUAUGGCAGUAUGACAACUUUGUAAAUAAUGGGCAAUAUUUAUUUUUAAACAUUUAAUAUUUCUAGAUGUAUUGAGUGUCACAGUAUAAUAUAAAUGUUUUCACUGUAAAUGUGUUAGGAUUAUUGCAUUUUAAAAUCAGCAUGGCAGAGAAAUUGAUCAUUGAUAUGCAGGCUCUUGGAGCUGUGCAACAUUUAUAUUAAUUUGGUUGUUGAGGAGAAAUAGAAAAGAUUGUGCAUUAUCCCAUUCUCAUAGUAUAAUAGUACGCCAUUGUAUAAGUACAAAUUGUAUAUUAAAAAACUUGUACCAUGUAAAAAAAAAAAAAGAAGUUCCCUUGUGGACUGGAACAGCUCUGUA